UACGUAGGGGGCGAGCGUUGUCCGAAGUUACUGGGCGUAAAGCGCACGUAGGCGGUUAUCUAAGUCUGGGGUGAAAGGUUCAGUGCUUAACGCGAACAGUGCCUUGGAGACUGGAUGACUUGAGUUUGGGAGAGGGUAGUGGAAUGGCUGGUGUAGCGGUGAAAUGCGUAGAUAUCAAGAGGAACACCUGAGGUGAAGACGGGUUGCUGGGCCGAUGACUGACGCUGGAGGAGCGAAAGCGUGGG
rnacentral:rRNA from 1 species